UACGAAGGGAGCUAGCGUUGUUCGGAAUCACUGGGCGUAAAGGGCGCGUAGGCGGCGUUUUAAGUCGGGGGUGAAAGCCUGUGGCUCAACCACAGAAUGGCCUUCGAUACUGGGACGCUUGAGUAUGGUAGAGGUUGGUGGAACUGCGAGUGUAGAGGUGAAAUUCGUAGAUAUUCGCAAGAACACCGGUGGCGAAGGCGGCCAACUGGACCAUUACUGACGCUGAGGCGCGAAAGCGUGGGGAGCAAACAGG
rnacentral:rRNA from 1 species